UGAGGAACAUGACCUUCGGCGGGGGAUAGCCGGCCCAACGGCCGGGUAAUACCGCGUACGACCACUUGAGGACAUCCUCGGGUGGUGAAAGCAGCAAUGCGCCGAUGGAGUGCCUCGCGGCCUAUCAGCUAGUUGGUGGGGUAACGGCUCACCAAGGCGACGACGGGUGGCUGGUCUGAGAGGAUGGCCAGCCACAUUGGGACUGAGACACGGCCCAGACUCCUACGGGAGCAG
rnacentral:rRNA from 1 species